rnacentral:rRNA from 1 species
CCUACGGGAGGCAGCAGUGAGGAAUAUUGGUCAAUGGGCUUACGCCUGAACCAGCCAAGUCGCGUGAGGGAAGACUGCCCUAUGGGUUGUAAACCUCUUUUGUCAGGGAGCAAUUGGCGCUACGUGUAGCGUUAUCGAGAGUACCUGAAGAAAAAGCAUCGGCUAACUCCGUGCCAGCAGCCGCGGUAAUACGGAGGAUGCGAGCGUUAUCCGGAUUUACUGGGUGUAAAGGGCGUGCAGCCGGGAAAACAAGUCAGAUGUGAAAUCCCGCGGCUCAACCGCGGAACUGCAUUUGAAACUGUUUGUCUUGAGUACCGGAGAGGUCAUCGGAAUUCCUUGUGUAGCGGUGAAAUGCGUAGAUAUAAGGAAGAACACCAGUGGCGAAGGCGGAUGACUGGACGGCAACUGACGGUGAGGCGCGAAAGCGUGGGGAGCAAACAGGAUUAGAUACCCCUGUAGUC